rnacentral:misc_RNA from 1 species
UCUCCGUUGGUGAACCAGCGGAGGGAUCAUUACAGGAUCGAAAGACUCCUAUAACCCCUGUGAACUUACUACAAAUACGUUGCUUCGGCGGGUGCCCCGGGUCUCCCGGGGCGUUCAGCCCGCCGGCAGCCUCCAAAUUCUGUUUCUUUGCGUUGGCAUCUCGAGUAUACAAAAAUAAGUUAAAACUUUCAACAACGGAUCUCUUGGUUCUG